AAGAAGUGUCUAAAUCUAUAAAAGGUUUAAAAGACUUUAGUCACUUAAAUAACAAGACAUUAAACUUAGUGAAGAUUGAAACAAAUAAGCUUGAAAUGUUUUCAAAAGCUACUACACAAUGUCUUCUACCAAUAUAAUCCACUUUUAUACAUUUUGAAAGUAUGAAAUGAUUUCUCAUUAAAGUCAUGAGAAAUAGUGGGAGGUGUGAAAAUGGAUAUAAACUUGAAUGUGAUGGUUUAUAGUUGUCUAAAGAAUAAUAGUACUUGACUAUUAUUAAGAGUUUGUAAUUUUAAUUGUUAAAAGGACUCAAGCUCUUCAAACGUUAAAAAUCUAUGUUGUCUAACAUUUAAAGAAUAGUCUUUGAAUGUUGGUUUCGUCAACCUAGCAUAAAAUGGUUAUAUGUUGUGAGUUGUCCAUCAUUCUCUUUUAUGAGAACAUGCUAAUAACAAAGCAUAUGGACAAGUUGAUGAAACAAAAAGGGAAUAAGUUUCAAAAUGAGUCACAACAUAUGGUUUAACAACAAGACAAUCCAAAUUCAACAUCUCAUGUAACGAUAUUGCUCUAUGUAGUUUUGAUAGAGAAUUAUAUCAACCACCUAGAAGGAAUGGUUGAGUAUCUAUAUCCUUAGUAGGAGCCAUGCUUCCACUAAAGACUUAGAUAAUUCUUAUAUCACUACAUUAAAAGGUCUUAGUAUGACUAAAACUUGACGUAUGGUGUAUGACAUCGUAUAAUUAAAUGAAUAGACUUGAUAAAACAAGUCACAUAUUCAAAAGGAAUUACUUUAGAAGGAAUUCUUUUGUAUGUGAUUCAUUUAAAUAACUUGUGUUAACUAGGGUUGUUGAUGGUCUCAAAAUUGUUGAGAACAUCAUCAAUAAGCUAAUGGAUCUCAAUAAUCUCAAUGGAUCCAAGACAAGUUAGUGGGAGCAACACGCAUUCAAAUCAAGAAAAUAUAAGUGUUAUUUUUGAAUGAAUGCUAAGUUACAACAAGGCCAGUGGGAGUGAUGUCAUAAUUUGAGCAACAAGAUGUGAAUAAAGUCUAUUUGAUAGACUUGAUGAAACAUAGAUGUUACUCGAAAAUGACAAAACAUGACACAGUCAAUUUUGAAGUAUAGACUUGAAAUUGGACUUACUGAUAUAGCAAGGCUAUCUCAAUAAUGUUAUAUGGGAAUUAAAUCUCAAAUGUUGAAGAUUUAAGAAAGCAUUUUCCUAUGUGAUAAGAAAUCACUUUCAUAACCCUUAUAAUGAAUGUGUCAUAAAAUCACAAAAAAGGGACACAUGUGUUGACUUGUGAAGUAGAUAUCCAAAGGUGAAGAAACCACUGAGUUAAUCACUUUAAGAUAUUACUAUAUCCCAGGAUCAGAACCAAAGCAACUGAUAGAGUAUUAUUGCCUUUAAGAAAGAAACAUCAGAGUGGGACUCUGGAAGCGUGCAUUCACUUAGGCUGUUAACCAAAGUGAAAAUAAGCCAUUUUAACAAAUGGAACUUCAUGAUGGAUGAAGUACUAAUCAUAUGAAUGAAUUGUUAGUAUUGUACUACAAUGGUCUCAAGCUUGGAGCAAAGUUUGUAUAAAGUAUACAAACGAAAUAUAUGUCGAUAUAUAGUUUUAGAAACUGCUUCAAAAAAGGUGUUUUGAAUGAAAGGGGUUCUUUUAGAACCCAUGAUUGAAUCCAAACCAUAAGGUCGUUAGUAGAGUACUACGACGUAAUGGGGCGAUAGCUCAAGCCAUGGAAUCAAGGUCUCAUCAAAUUAUUCGAACACAUUAAAGAGACAUCAUCAAAUGUCUUGGAAACAUUUGAUAAGUAAAUCUCUUUUAAUAAAAGAGAUUAAUACAUAACCAAGUUAACCUACGAGCAUAAACUCUCUCGACAAGAUGUAUGAGAUACACUAGUGAUUGACUUUAGUGCAAGUGGCAGAUUGUUGGAAAUAUGCCCUGAAAGUCAAUCUUUGGAAGAAAUCUUUCAGGACAAA
rnacentral:lncRNA from 1 species